GUGAGAUAUGUGAGGUAUAAUAACGUGAGAUAUGUGAGGUAUAAUAACGUGAGAUAUGUGAGGUAUAAUAACGUGAGAUAUGUGAGAUUUAAUAACGUGAGAUAUGUGAGGUAUAAUAACGUGAGAUAUGUGAGGUAUAAUAACGUGAGAUAUGUGAGGUAUAAUAACGUGAGAUAUAAUAACGUGAGCUAUGUGAGGUAUAAUAACGUGAGAUAUGUGAGAUAUAAUAACGUGAGAUAUGUGAGAUAUAAUAACGUGAGAUAUGUGAGAUAUAAUAACGUGAGAUAUGUGAGAUAUAAUAACGUGAGAUAUAAUAACAUGAGAUAUGUAAGAUAUAAUAACAUGAGAUAUGUAAGAUAUAAUAGCA
ensembl:lncRNA